UCGACACAUUAUUGUGCGCACUAACUCUCCUCAUCACGUAAUUUAAUGAAACCUCAAACAAGUGACAAGUAUCUAGCCUUAGUUGUGUCUGGUGCAUAUAAGGUUUUUUUUUUUUUUCAGAAAAAAUGUCUGCAGAAAUAUAGGACUCCGUGUUUUGUUACUAUAUUACUUACAUGCAGUCCACAUUAUUAUCCAGUCUUGUGUGCGUCAAAUUACAAGUACUGUAUCAGUGCGUGCUUGUGUAUAUUCACCUUCAAUGAUAGCUUUAGUUUUAGAAGUGUACAUGUAAUGCUUAUAUCUGUAUCAGAGAUAAUAGUACAGAUAAGCUAUUGCAUAUAGAUAUAUGGUCAAGAUGCUGCACUGAUUACCAAUGGUUAAUCAAAUUUUUUAUAUAGUACCUGCAUUAUGUAGACAAUAUCACUAGCAUAAGAAGAAAAUCAUUUCAGCGUGUUAUUUAGAGUUUAAAAGAUAUGAAUGUUAAUAAUUUGAUAUAUAAUGAUUAAGUGACCUUAUGAAAUCGAUCACAUACAAGCUCUUGAAACUCUAAUGUGGAGUUAUUACUCAAUAUACAGAAAUAAGAUGUAAAAUUCUGAUAACUUGCACACACAUCUUUUUCUGUAGGUAUUUUUUACAUUAUAAGAUACACUGUAUAUUAUCAUUAAAGUUUGCUAAAGAUAUGUUUAUAUCUAUUACCAAGCUGGUGUUUAGAGCUUUGGAUUUAGUAAUAAGUUUGUUUGUUUUGGGUUUAACGCCGUUUUUCAACAGUAUUUCAGUCAUGUAACUGCGGGCAGUUAACCUAACCAGUGUUCCUGGAUUCUGUACCAGUUCAAACCUGUUCUCCGCAAGUAACUACCAACUUCCCCACAUGAAUCAGAGGUGGAGGACUAAUGAUUUCAGACACAAUGUCGUUUAUCAAAUAGUCACGGAGAACAUGCGCCCCGCCCGAGGAUCGAACUCGCGACCCCGCGAUCCGUAGACCAAUGCUCUUACCUACCGAGCUAAGAUUUAGUAAUAAGAACAUAAUUAUUGAGAUGCAUACCAAUAGGUAGAUAAAAUUUACUAAUGGUCGUACAAUUCUCUUUAUCAGCAAUAUCAGUACCACAUGUUUGUAUUUAUAAACAGAACUACUGGCCCCUUAAAACUCAAAAGAAUCUUCUCACAGAUAACAUCAGCAUCAGAAUGUAUGAUGAGUGGUUGAGGUUAUCUACAGGUUACAUAAUAACAGUUCAGUCAAUCAUUCUGUAGUAACCGCCUACUGUGCUCUUACCGAUGUUAUUAUCUAGGAAAUGGCAUAGGAUUCGCUAAGUAAAUGUCUAAAUCUAGUGCAUGUACAGUUUGCAAACUAUGUGACGGAAUUAACCAGUGAUUUAACUCAAUAAAUGAUGUUUCAUGUGAUACUACGUUUUUGGAUUUACUGAGAGAAGCUAAUAAAAAAGGUUGAUAUUAAACCUUCAUAUAUUGCUACCUGACAGGAUUGGAAAAGAUCUGGUAGACUGGCAAAAGAAGAAUGUGAAUAUCUAAUACACUGACAAUGUGGAAUCAUGAAAUAUUUUCUCUAAAAGAAAUAACGUUAUGCUUAAUUGUUUAACCAUUUGCUAAUUACAGGACAGAAACAUGUAGAUACUUAAUAAUAAUAUUACAAAUGUAUAUUGUUGAGUAAUAUCAAAGCUCAUAUGAAAUUAAUAUAUAUUAAAAUAUGUUUUGUUUCA